GGAUAUAAACGGGAAUGGAGGCUCGGUGCAGGUAAGGGGAGACGCCUGCGUGGAUGUGAACGGGAAUGGAGGCUCGGUGCAGGAAAGCCAGGUGCGGAAGGCAGAUAGGACAGAAGGCUCUUUGGAGCCGGCUUUCACGCACGGAGUCAGGGCCCGAGUGGGACUUACGGAACUUGGUCCCCCGUAGCUGACCCUGGGCAGCUCAGCUCCUUGUGUAUGAGGCGGAUCAGGAACUGCACCAAAACAAAGGUGAAAGAAGUUGGGGCCGCUCCCGCCGUCUGACAGCAUGGCUGCAGGAGGGACACCAGGACAGUGAUGACCACUGGGAGGCCAGGCUCUGUGUAUCAUCUGCUUUAAUUCCCACAACAAUCUUGUCACUGGGUGCCAUUAUCAUGCCCAUUUUAAAGCUGUGGAAACUGUGGAGCAGAGGUUACAAAACCUGCCCAAGUCACACACAUGACAGGUGACAGGCAGGAUCUAGAGCCACGGAGCUCCAUGCUCCUGGCCUUUGUGCUAUCCCGCCCAAGGCUGCAGAGCAAGACUGUCCUGCUUCUGUUUCUGACUUUUUCUAAUCAGAGAGAGAAGGAGCUUUAAACCAUGCAUAUUUAGAAAAGAUGGGAAGACCCAAACCUCUCUGAUAACUCAGGAAUGCAUGGGAGAAAGUUCCACCAGUAUUUGGCCACAACCACAGAGAUCUGCAUUCAAGGUGGAUUGGACUAAAAAUAGGCCGACUUACCAGUAAGGCACAGGCAUCUGCAAACAUCAGCAUGUAAAACACAUUGCUCCAGCCGGACGGGGAGAGGAGCCCAGCCAGCAGGGGGCCCAGGGCUGCUCCUGAAAUCAGGCAAAUGGACACACAUGGUGCUGUUUAGAGAAAAUCCCAGCACAUAACUAGCAGCCACACAGAAUGGGGCUCAACACCUCACUCACAAUGAAAGGAACACAUAUGGAACUACACUACCUCAUCCUGGCCUAUCAGAUUGGGAGCGGGUACAAGGCCUAGUAUAGGUUGAGCCUUCCAAAUCUGAAAACCUGAAAUCCAAAAUCUCCAGAAUUCGUAACUUUUUGAGUGCUGGCACUCAAAGGAAAUGCUCACUGGGGCAUUUCAGAAUUGGGAUUUGAGAUGCUCAACCAGUAUAAUGCAAAUAUCCCACAAUCUGAAAAAAUAAAAAGACAUAACCACUUCUGGUCCCAAGUACUUCAGAUAAGGAUACUCCACCUGUACGCCUCCAUACUGGGAAGGCAGAGCUGGCACAGCCUUUUCCCAGAACCAUCCUAAAAAUGUGUGUUGACAUUGCAAUGUUCAUUCUUUUCAUCCAACACUCCCAUUAUUUUCUUGAGUACACGUAAGGAAAUCUGAAUUCAAUGCACAAUCUUAGAUAUUCUUAUGCUAUAAAAAUGUAACUGGGUAAAAUUUGAAUAAGAAUUGUAGAUACUAAUAUUCUUUCAACACUCACUUUCUGAUUCUCAUCAUGCACUGUGGUCUGUCAUGGAACUCCUUGUUUUUAGGAAGUACAUGCUGGAUAGUUAUGAGGAAAG
rnacentral:lncRNA from 1 species